UGAGGGGAUCAUUGUGUAUCUCACUAUCUCGUACAGCCACAAUGACAAUUCCAGUGCUUGUUUCAUGGCUUUUCUUGAUGUUAUCCAUUUACUCAUCUUUAUUCGGUCAUGUUGUUGUUGUGGUUGGUCAAUGUCUCAGCCAUCAACAAUCUUUGUUGCUGCAACUCAAGCAUGCCAUCAUCUUCAACGAAACCAGUUCCAAAAUUUUGGUGAAUUGGAAUGAAAGCUCCGAUUGUUGUACUUGGCCUGGUAUAACCUGUGAUGAUGAUGGACGUGUCAUUGGUCUCAAAUUGAGCAACGAACAGAUAUCUGGUGGGAUUCAUGACAACUCUACACUCUUCAACCUCGUGGACCUCAAGAGCUUGGAUUUGUCUUCUAACGAAGACUUGCAAUCAGAGAUGCCAUCAAGGAUAGGUAACCUCACAAAUUUGAAUUAUCUGAACUUGUCAAAUUCUUUUUGGUUUCAUCAAAUCCCAAAAACAAUAUCACUCCUGAAUAAGUUACUUAUCCUUGAUCUAUCUUACUCUGAUGAAUAUUACUGUCUUGAUCAACAAUAUGACAAGGGCUCAAAUUUGAGCAUGCAUAUGUUUACAAACCUCACAAGACUUGAAGAACUAUAUGUUGGUUGUGUAAAUCUAUCAGCAUCAGGGAAUGAAUGGGGCCAGGCUUUAUCUUCUUCACUGCCUAAUUUGCGAGUAUUGAGUUUAAUCUCUUGUUCUCUUUCUGGUCCUAUUGAUAAGUCGCUUGCCAAGCUUCAAUACCUAUCAGUGAUUCAUCUAGAUGACAACGAUCUUUUGUCUUCUAAAGUUCCAAAAUUCUUUGCGAAUUUCUCAAAUUUGACUACCUUGUCUCUAAGUGGUUGCGGCUUGUAUGGAAUGUUUCCUAAAGAGAUCUUUCAGGUACCAACACUAACGAUUCUUGACAUAUCGAGGAAUGAAUUACUUGGUGGUUCUUUGCCAGAAUUUCCCCUGGACAGUGAUCUUCAAAGUCUGGUGCUUUACGGAACUAAUUUCAGUGGGAGUUUGCCUGCUUCUAUUGGCAAUCUUGGUCAGUUAUCCAGAUUAGACAUUUAUCAUUGUCAGUUCAGCGGUUCACUUCCAAAGUCCAUGGCAAAUCUCACCCAACUUGUUCAUCUUGAUUUAUCAUCAAACAUGUUCACUGUUCCAAUUCCAUCUUUUAAUAUGUCCAAGAUCUUGAUGGAAAUAAACCUAUCCAAUAAUUCUCUCAAUGGAAACAUCCCUUCAUCUCUGUUUGCCCUUCCAUCAUUAGAUAGCAUUCAUCUUGCAAACAAUCAAUUUAGCGGAGUUGAUGAAUUUCCAAAUGUAUCUUCCUCAGUGUUGAAAUCCAUUGAUUUAAGGAGCAACAAACUACAAGGUACUGUUCCAUCAUCUUUGUUUGCCCUUCCAUCAUUAGAAAGCAUUCAUCUUGGAAAGAAUCAAUUUAGCAGAGUUGAUGAAUUUCCAAAUGUAUCUUCCUCAGUGUUGAAUUCCAUUGAUUUAAGUAGCAACAACCUACGAGGUACUGUUCCAUCAUCUCUGUUUACCCUUCCAUCAUUAGAAGAAAUUGAUCUUGCAAACAAUCAAUUUACCGGAGUUGAUGAAUUUUCAAAUGUAUCUUCCUCAGUGUUGAAAUCCAUUGAUUUAAGGAGCAACAAACUACAAGGUACUGUUCCAUCAUCUCUGUUUGCCCUUCCAUCAUUAGAAAGCAUUCAUCUUGGAAAGAAUCAAUUUAGCAGAGUUGAUGAAUUUCCAAAUGUAUCUUCCUCAGUGUUGAAUUCCAUUGAUUUAAGUAGCAACAACCUACGAGGUACUGUUCCAUCAUCUCUGUUUACCCUUCCAUCAUUAAAAGAAAUUGAUCUUGCAAACAAUCAAUUUACUGGAGUUGAUGAAUUUCCAAAUGUAUCUUCCUCAGUGUUGAACUCCAUUGAUUUAAGUAGCAACAAACUACAAGGUACUGUUCCAUCAUCUCUGUUUACCCUUCCAUCAUUAGAAAAAAUUGAUCUUGCAAACAAUCAAUUUACUGGAGUUGAUGAAUUUCAAAAUGUAUCUUCCUCAGUGUUGGAAUAUUUAGGCCUUGCUUCUUGCAAACUUGGAGUGUUUCCUUAUCCAAUUAAAAACCUUGCUCUGUUUGAUUUGGACCUUUCAAACAACCAAAUUUCUGGGGAGAUACCUAACUGGAUUUGGAAAGUUGCCGUACAAUUGAAUCUUUCACAUAAUCAACUGGUAGGCAUGCAAGAACCAUAUUCUCUUCAAAAUCUUAGUAGUCUUGAUCUUAGUUUUAACCAACUCCACGGGAAGAUACCCAUUCUACCACCAAAUGCUUUCUACAUAGAUUUGUCUAGCAAUAACUUUCAAUCUUCCAUUCCAUCUGACAUUGGUAAUAACCUCAAUGCUGUAUAUGUAUCCCUCUCAAACAGUGGCCUUACAGGAGUUAUACCUGAAUCAAUAUGCAAAGCAAGUAACCUAGAAGCUCUCGACCUGUCCAACAACACUUUGAGUGGCAAAAUACCAACGUGCAUUUUUGCCAUGGAUUCAAUUGUCAUGGUGAAACUUCGAAGGAACAACUUGAGCGGCCCAAUUCCUGAUGCAUUUCCGGAUAAUUGCAAAUUAGAGAUCCUAGAUCUCUAUGGAAACUUACUCACAGAUAGGAUUCCAAAAUCUCUGGUCAACUGUCAUCCUUUGAAGGUUUUAAACCUUGGGAAAAAUCAAAUGCUGGACACUUUUCCACUAUUUUUGAAAAGAAUAUCUACAUUGCUCAUCCUUAUUUUGAAAUCAAAUAGAUUGCAUGGCAGCAUUACAUGUGCUGACAACAUUGGCGGUUGGCCAGUGAUUGAAAUUGUGGUUGUAGCUUCCAACAAUUUCAGUGGUGAACUACCAUUUCAAUGCUUAACAACAUGGGGUGUAAUGAAAGGUGAUUCACCAUUUCCAUUGCCAUCCGCAUCCCACUUUAGUUAUAACAGAGCAAUGAGUAGUUUUGACUAUAAAGAUGUAGUACCAGUUACCAACAAACGUCUAGAAAUGGACCUGGUAAAGGUACCCGAGGGAUUCACUUGCAUUGACUUUUCAAGCAACAACUUCUCUGGUGAAAUCCCAAAACAACUGGGACUACUCACAUAUCUGAAGGUACUCAACUUGUCCAAUAAUGCUCUCAGCGGUCAUAUCCCAUCAUCUUUUGGCAACAUGCAUGAGUUGGAGUCAUUAGACCUCUCGAGGAAUCGUCUGAAUGGAGAAAUCCCAGCAUCACUUUCGAAUUUGAAUUUCCUUGAAGUCCUAGACCUGUCGCAUAAUCAGCUUUCUGGAAGAAUCCCCAAGGGUACUCAAAUUCAAACCUUUUCAGCUGAUUGUUUUCAGGAUAAUGAAGGAUUAUGUGGGCCUCCUUUGACACCACGUUGCAAAAAUGAUGAGGUUGAUCUGCCACCAAAAACAUCUCAUGAAGCCAGUCAUCAAAACUCUGGCAACGAAGACAUCAAAUGGGAUCUAAUAAGUGCCGAAGUUGGUUUUGUUGUUGGAUUUGGAACUGUGAUUGGGCCUCUUGUGUUUUCCAGCAGAUGGAGGAAGCGCUAUUACGACCGUGUUGAGGACAUUGCGUUUAGGAUUUUACCUAAUCUGAUUCUUGAGAAAUGGUUGUCAUGGAAGAUGGGAAUGCGAAAAUAAUAAGCAGAGGAAUCAGAGUUGGUGGCAAAAGAGCAACUCGGAUGGAUGGGAAUAAGAUGGACGGAAAUGUUUGCCACUACCACUGUUAUCACUAUGUAAUGUUGUCAUGACCUUGAAGUAAUACUUAAUUCUGCAUGUGAGCUUUCAUUUAUUAAAAGUCCAACCUA